AAAAAAAACAAAAAAAACUAUAAUAAGACGACGGCUAUACGCGAUACGCUAUUAUAACAUUCCGCGACGAUGGCCGGGACCGAAUAUUAUUACGUUACAAUAUCAUCAUGAGUAUAUUGUGUGUGUUUGAUAAGUUCGAUAUUGCAAAAGUCAGUUCUCCGAGAACUACGGAAUAUUUCGAGACCGAAGCUGCAGCUGUUAUUUUCGUAUAGUUAUAAUAUGGCUAUGGUGGUAAAUAAUAUUAUGCGUACACGGUAUCGCGAAGUAAAAAAAUACCGUUCAUACAGAAUGUUUGUGAAAUAAACGGGGAACUUAUAAUAAUUAAUAAUAAAAUAAUAUAUCAAACAAUGCGUGUAUUUUAUUUUUUAUUAUUUGGAAUACAGACCGAGGUCGGGGGGUACUUGGUGGAUUAGACUCCAAAGCACCCGUCUAAAUUAAUGUGUGUUUUUUUGUAUGACCCAAAGUGAUGGAGAUAAGUUAACCGAAUGAAGGUAACGCGAUUUUAAAAUAUCGAGA